UUCCCAUUCCGAACACAGAAGUUAAGCUCUUUUACGCCGAAAGUACUUGCAGGGUACUGCUGGGAGGAUAGGUAAUUGCCGCUU
rnacentral:rRNA from 1 species